ACCUGGUUGAUCCUGCCAGUAGUCAUACGCUUGUCUCACAGAUUAAAGCCAUGCAUGUCUAAGUAUAAACAAUUUUGUACUGUGAAACUGCGAAUGGCUCAUUAUAUCAGUUAUAGUCUACUCGAUAGUACCUUACUACUUGGAUACCCGUAGUAAUUCUAGAGCUAAUACAUGGCAUCAAUACUCCAACUUGCUUGUUCGGGGCGGGUAGCAUUUAUUAAGAUUGAAACCAA